rnacentral:rRNA from 1 species
UAGGGAAUCUUCCGCAAUGGACGCAAGUCUGACGGAGCAACGCCGCGUGAGUGAAGAAGGAUUUCGGUUCGUAAAACUCUGUUGUUAGAGAAGAACAGCGCAUAGAGUAACUGUUAUGCGUGUGACGGUAUCUAACCAGAAAGCCACGACUAACUACGUGCCAGCAGCCGCGGUAAUACGUAGGUGGCAAGCGUUGUCCGGAUUUAUUGGGCGUAAAGCGAGCGCAGGCGGUCAAUUAAGUCUGAUGUGAAAGCCCCCGGCUCAACCGGGGAGGGUCAUUGGAAACUGGUUGACUUGAGUGCAGAAGAGGAGAGUGGAAUUCCAUGUGUAGCGGAGAAAUGCGUAGAUAUAUGGAGGAACACCAGUGGCGAAGGCGACUCUCUGGUCUGUAACUGACGCUGAGGCUCGAAAGCGUGGGUAGCAAACAGG